rnacentral:rRNA from 1 species
AUUGAACGCUGGCGGCAUGCUUUACACAUGCAAGUCGAACGGCAGCGCGGGCUUCGGCCUGGCGGCGAGUGGCGAACGGGUGAGUAAUACAUCGGAACGUGCCCAGUAGUGGGGGAUAGCUCGGCGAAAGCCGGAUUAAUACCGCAUACGACCUGAUGGUGAAAGCGGGGGAUCUUCGGACCUCGCGCUAUUGGAGCGGCCGAUGGCAGAUUAGCUAGUUGGUGGGGUAAAGGCCUACCAAGGCGACGAUCUGUAGCUGGUCUGAGAGGACGACCAGCCACACUGGGACUGAGACACGGCCCAGACUCCUACGGGAGGCAGCAGUGGGGAAUUUUGGACAAUGGGCGAAAGCCUGAUCCAGCAAUGCCGCGUGUGUGAUGAAGGCCUUCGGGUUGUAAAGCACUUUUGGCGGGAACGAAAAGGACUGUGCCAAUACCACGGCUCGAUGACGGUACCCGCAGAAUAAGCACCGGCUAACUACGUG